CGUCAAUAGCCGGAGGGGAGUCCGCCAUUUCAACGACAAGGACCCAAGUCACGCGGUGUCAACAUGCUGAUCAAGGAGUACCGCAUUCCGCUGCCCCUCACCGUCGAGGAGUACCGCAUCGCCCAGCUCUACAUGAUUGCGAAAAAGAGUCGCGAGGAGAGUCAUGGCGAGGGCAGUGGCGUUGAGAUAAUCAUCAAUGAGCCGUACAAGGAUGGACCCGGCGGAAAUGGUCAAUACACGAAGAAGAUCUACCAUGUGGGCAAUCAUCUGCCUGGCUGGAUUAAAAGUCUCUUGCCGAAAAGCGCUUUAACCGUUGAGGAGGAGGCAUGGAAUGCCUAUCCGUAUACCAGGACUCGCUACACCUGUCCGUUUGUGGAGAAGUUCUCGCUGGACAUUGAGACAUACUACUAUCCGGACAAUGGCUAUCAGGACAAUGUCUUCCAGCUGUCCGGUAGCGAUCUGCGUAAUCGUAUCGUAGACGUGAUUGACAUUGUCAAGGAUCAGCUGUGGGGCGGUGACUAUGUGAAGGAGGAGGAUCCCAAGCACUUUGUGUCGGACAAGACGGGCCGCGGACCCUUGGCCGAGGAUUGGCUGGAGGAGUAUUGGCGCGAAGUGAAGGGCAAAAAGCAGCCGACACCGCGCAACAUGUCCCUGAUGACCGCCUACAAGAUCUGCCGCGUGGAGUUCCGCUACUGGGGCAUGCAGACGAAGCUAGAGAAGUUCAUCCAUGAUGUGGCGCUGCGCAAGAUGAUGCUGCGUGCCCAUCGGCAGGCGUGGGCAUGGCAGGACGAGUGGUUCGGCUUGACCAUCGAGGAUAUACGCGAGCUGGAGCGGCAGACGCAACUGGCCCUGGCCAAGAAGAUGGGCGGCGGCGAGGAGUGCAGCGACGACAGCGUCUCGGAGCCGUAUGUCAGCACGGCGGCCACCGCCGCCUCCGCAACGGGCAGCGAGCGAAAGAAGUCCGCUCCGGCUGUGCCGCCUAUUGUCACCCAGCAGCCGCCGAGCGCCGAGGCCAGUUCGGAUGAGGAGGGCGAGGAGGAGGAUGACGACGAGGACGAGAACGAUGCCAUUGGCACGGGCGUGGAUCUGUCUGCCAAUCAAGGCGGAUCUGCGCAGCGCUCGCGCUCCCAAAGUAUUCAGAUGGCCCAGAAGGGCAAGUUCGGGUCAAAGGGCGCCCUGCACUCGCCGGUGGGAUCUGCCCAUAGCUUUGAUCUCCAGUCCAAAAAGCCGCAUGCAAAGACAGCGCCACGCAGACAUGUGGCUAACUGGCGCAUGGAGCGAUUGGAAGUGGACUCCAAAUCCAAUUCGGAUGAGGAAUUCUUUGAUUGCCUGGACACCAACGAGACGAACUCGCUGGCCAAGUGGAGCUCGCUGGAGCUGCUGGGCGAGGGCGACGACAGUCCGCCGCCACAUGGCGGACCCUCUAGUGCAGCAUCGGUGGGUGGGCGUGGCAGCUCGCGGCAAGAGGACAGCAUAUUCAAUCAGGACUUUCUGAUGCGCGUAGCCUCGGAGCGCGGCAACAAGCGACAGUUACGCUCCUCGGCCAGCGUGGAUCGCAGUCACGAUUCAUCGCCGCCGGGAUCACCGAGCACACCGUCGUGUCCCACAACCAUUCUCAUUCUGGUUGUCCAUGCGGGCAGCGUUUUGGAUGCGGCCAGCGAGCUGACCGCCAAGAAAUCCGAUGUGACCACAUUCCGUGGCUCCUUCGAGGCGGUGAUGCGACAGCACUAUCCCAGCCUCCUCACCCAUGUGACCAUCAAGAUGGUGCCGUGCCCCUCAAUAUGCACCGACGCCCUGGGCAUUCUCUCCAGCCUGAGUCCGUACUCCUUUGAUGCGUCGCCCUCGGCGGCGGAUAUACCGAAUAUAGCCGAUGUCCCCAUUGGAGCCAUACCACUACUAUCCGUGGCAUCGCCAGAAUUCCACGAGACGGUCAACAAGACGGUUGCCGCUGCCAAUAUUGUCUACCAUGAGUUUUUGAAAUCGGAGGAGGGUCACGGAUUCUCCGGCCAAAUUGUCAUGCUGGGCGAUUCGAUGGGCUCGCUGCUGGCGUACGAGGCCCUCUGCCGAUCGAAUGGCAGCCAGCCGGGCACGGCUUCGGGUGCCUCGAAUUCCGGCGGAGAUGCGGCCACAAAUAUAAACACCCACAAUCCGUUGAGCGCUCGUAAUUCGCGAUUGGACGACGACGAGCGUUUCAUCGAAGCCGAUCUGGAUGCCAAGCGUUUGCUGGUGGCCCCAUCGCCACGUAGACGCCGUUCCAGCUCCUCCAGCGAUUCGCGGGCCACCAAAUUGGACUUUGAGGUCUGUGACUUCUUCAUGUUCGGAUCGCCGCUGUCUGUGGUGCUGGCUGCUCGGAAACUUCACGAUGCCAAGGCCGCCCUGCCGCGGCCCAACUGCCACCAGGUCUACAAUCUGUUCCAUCCAACCGAUCCGAUCGCCUCGCGCCUGGAGCCGCUACUGAGCGCCCGGUUUUCUAUAUUGGCGCCAGUCAAUGUCCCACGGUACGCCAAGUAUCCGCUGGGUAAUGGCCAGCCAUUGCAUUUAUUGGAGGUCAUUCAGUCGCAUCCGCAGCACUUUAACGAUGGCAACAACCUAUUGGCUGGUCGCCGUUUGUCGGACGCAUCCAUGCAGAGCACGAUAUCGGGUCUGAUUGAGAAUGUCUCGCUUAGUACGAUCCAUGCCCUGCAAAACAAAUGGUGGGGCACAAAGCGCUUGGAUUUCGCAUUAUAUUGCCCGGAGGGAUUGAGUAACUUCCCUGCUCAUGCCUUGCCGCACCUCUUCCAUGCCAGCUACUGGGAGAGUCCGGAUGUGAUUGCCUUUAUUCUACGGCAGAUUGGCAAAUUCGAGGGCAUACCCUUUGUGGGCUCCAACGAUGACAAGGACAAUGCCUCCUUCCAUCCCGGACAGCCGAGGGAGAAGUGGAUCAAGAAACGGACCUCGGUUAAGCUGAAAAAUGUGGCCGCCAAUCAUCGGGCCAACGAUGUGAUCGUGCAGGAGGGCAGGGAGCAGCGCUUGAAUGCGAGAUUUAUGUACGGACCCCUCGACAUGAUCACGCUGCACGGUGAAAAGGUGGAUGUGCACAUUAUGAAGGAUCCGCCGGCGGGCGAGUGGACAUUCCUCAGCACCGAGGUGACGGACAAGAACGGUCGCAUCUCGUACAGCAUUCCGGAUCAGGUAUCCCUUGGCUAUGGCAUAUAUCCGGUUAAGAUGGUGGUCCGUGGCGAUCACACCUCGGUGGAUUGCUAUAUGGCGGUGGUGCCGCCGUUGACCGAAUGCGUGGUCUUCAGCAUUGAUGGCUCCUUCACCGCUUCGAUGUCGGUGACGGGCAGGGAUCCCAAGGUGCGUGCCGGAGCUGUCGAUGUUUGCCGCCACUGGCAGGAGCUGGGCUACCUGCUCAUCUACAUCACCGGACGACCGGAUAUGCAGCAGCAACGCGUGGUGUCCUGGCUGAGCCAGCACAACUUCCCGCACGGCCUGAUCUCGUUCGCCGACGGCCUGUCCACCGAUCCAUUGGGCCACAAGACGGCCUAUCUCAACAAUUUGGUUCAGAACCAUGGAAUCUCAAUUACUGCCGCCUACGGCAGCAGCAAGGACAUUAGUGUCUACACGAAUGUUGGCAUGCGAACCGAUCAAAUCUUCAUCGUGGGCAAGGUUGGCAAGAAGCUGCAGUCGAAUGCCACCGUGCUUAGCGAUGGCUAUGCCGCCCACUUGGCCGGUUUGCAGGCUGUGGGUGGUUCGCGUCCGGCGAAGGGCAAUGCCCGCAUGGUCAUUCCCCGCGGAUGCUUCAAUCUUCCCGGCCAGACCGCGAAUCCGCGGCGCAGAAGGCUGCAUGAACAAGCAACGAAUGAAAAUUGAAUUGCAACUCAAGCAAACCAAUUGUUUAGAGCAAUGAAAAACAACAAUUAAAGCAUCUUGUAAACAGAUAGAAGCGUUGAAAACAAAAACAAAACAUUACAGACAAUUGAUGUUAGAAUUAGUGUUCUAGAAUAUGCCCAACACUCCCCACACAAUUUUUCAGUUCCUUUGUUACGUAUUUUGAAGCAUACCUAGCUGAGCAUUUUAUUGAUUGAUUGAUUGGUGUUGUGAAAAAAAGAAACAAAAUUGAUAAAAAAAAAUACGAUAAAUAUCGAUCUUAGAAACGUUUCCAUCUUAGAGCCAAAAUUCAACUCUUUCUCAACGUUAACUCUGUCUUUCUUUUUCCAAACAAAAAAUAUCCAAAAUUUGUCUGAAAAAAACAAAAACAAAAACAAAUCCAACACCACACCAACACACACACCUCACACCACGCACACACACUGCCAUCGACCGUGUCUGUCAUCGAUAAUCGAUAAACACAGCAACGAGACAGGACUCUCAUCACCCAUACGCAGUGGUUACCUGAAGCGCAAGACCUACCUGAGCCACCACUAGAGCAGCAGAGAUGCAGAUACAGAUGCAGCUAUAUAGAUCGAUCCAUCAGAUAGAAGUCCUCAGAACCCCAAUAGAACUCCCUUCGAUAUAGCGAAAAAAAAUAUAUAGAGCCAAUGGACAACAAGACCGAUGCCUCCAUAUGCCACAUCUGUGUAUAUACCAUAUAAAUAUAUAUUUAUAUACUAUGCGCGAUAUAUUGAAAGUUUAAUGGUGUAAUAUAUACAUAUAUCAAAUACCAAAAUUUGCAAAUGAGAAAAAAACAAUUGUACAACAUUUAACAAAAGUCAAAUGUGUCACGCGGUACCUGGAAAGAAAGACUGUUUCCUCCUGUUGUUUGAUGGUUUUCCAAACCACUUAAAGCAUAAAACAAACAUUGAAAACUACACGAAACAAAAGCCGAUCGCAAAGCUAUAUACUAAAUACAAUUAUAAAUGAUAUAUACAGAGAUAUAUUCGAAAUAUAGAACCGUUUAACAUAUGCAAGUGAACCAAGUUCAGCCAACCAAGUGAGUUACAACAACCGAAGGACAAACUACCGAAACCGAAGAUCUCCCAAUGAUUAAUGAUACCCACUGGAAGAGGAGCGAGGAGCGAGGAGCGCGGAUGGAGUUGCAAAUCAAAAAAAAGGCAAAUUUAAUGCAUUUCUCGAGAAACAACCACUACAAAAGUAUAAAUGAACGGCUUCCGUAAACCGAAUUAAAACCUAAAAGUAGAUAUAUGUAUCUAUGUGUAUGUGCGUGUAAAAUUGACAAAAAUACAAAUAAUCGGUUCUUAAGAAAAAAACCUAAAUGUAAAAACUUCUUGAAAUUGAAUACAAUCUCUUAACUGGCCCCAGAAAUUUCAAAUCUCCAUAAUUGUGAUAGUCUUUCGCUACCAAAAGUUAUUUAAAAAGAUGAUGAAACAGCAAAUUAUAUAUUUAUCUCUACUAAAAUUGUUAUUCGAAAAGGAAAGACAUUUCGGAAUGAAACAAAACAAAAA